AGUGAACGCUGGCGGUAGGCCUAACACAUGCAAGUCGAACGGCAGCACAGUAAGAGCUUGCUCUUACGGGUGGCGAGUGGCGGACGGUUGAGGAAUACAUCGCAAUCUACUUUUUCGUGGGGGAUAACGGAGGGAAACUUACGCUAAUACCGCAUACCACCUACGGGUGAAAGCAGGGGAUCUUCGGACCUUGCUCGAUUGAAGGAGCCGAUGUCGGAUUAGCUAGUUGGCGGGGUAAAGGCCCACCAAGGCGACGAUCCGUAGCUGGUCUGAGAGGAUGAUCAGCCACAGUGGAAGUGAGACACGGUCCAGACACCUACGGGAGGCAGCAGUGGGGAAUAUUGGACAAUGGGCGCAAGCCUGAUCCAGCCAUACCGCGUGGGUGAAGAAGGCCUUCGGGUUGUAAAGCCCUUCUGUUGGGAAAGAAAAGCAGCAGGUUAAUACCACGCUGUUCUGACGGUACCCAAAGAAUAAGCACCGGCUAACUUCGU
rnacentral:rRNA from 1 species